GGGCAGCCCCGGUCCCCGCUGCCGCCGCAGGGUGCGCGGGGCUCCGCCGAUGGAUGCGGGCACGAUGGAGAACGGCUCGGCCAGCGGCAACCAGAGCCUGGGCAGGAUGCCCCGGCAGCCCCUGGAGCUGCAGGUGGUCACCAUCCUGCUGGUGCUGCUCAUCUGCGGUGUGGGCAUCGCGGGCAACGCCAUGGUGGUGCUGGUGGUGCUGCGCACCAAGCACAUGGUGACCCCCACCAACUGCUACCUGGUGAGCCUGGCCGUGGCCGACCUCAUCGUGCUGCUGGCGGCCGGGCUGCCCAACAUCUCCGAAGUGGUGGCUUCUUGGGUGUACGGCUACGCCGGCUGCCUCUGCAUCACCUACCUGCAGUAUCUGGGCAUCAACAUCUCGGCCUGGUCCAUCGCCGCCUUCACGGUGGAGCGGUACAUCGCCAUCUGCCACGCCAUCAAGGCGCAGCUCCUGUGCACCGUGUCCCGCGCCCGCCGCAUCAUCGCCUCGCUGUGGCUCUUCACCUCCCUCUAUUGCCUCAUGUGGUUCUUCCUGGUGGACACCACCCAGGUCACCUUCUCGGACGGGGCGCAGGUCAUCUGCGGCUACCGGGUCUCCAGAAACCUUUACAUGCCCAUUUACUUCUUGGAUUUUGCCGUCUUCUAUGUCAUCCCGCUGGGGCUGGCCACUGUCCUGUACGGCCUCAUUGCCCGCAUCCUGUUCGUGAGCCCCCUGCCCGGCACCCCGCAGCAGCAGCACUCCUUCCUGGGCUCCGUGCACCUGGGCAGCUCCCUCCGGCUCUCCUGCCGGGGCACCAGGGGCGCCCUGAGCUCCCGCAGGCAGGUGACCAAGAUGCUGGCAGUGGUGGUGGCCCUCUUUGCCGUGCUGUGGCUGCCGUACCGCACGCUGGUGGUGGUGAACUCCUUCGUGGACCCUCCGUACCUCAACACCUGGUUCCUCCUCUUCUGCCGCCUGUGCAUCUACCUGAACAGCGCCAUCAACCCCAUCAUCUACAACCUCAUGUCACAGAAGUUCAGGGCUGCCUUCAGGAAGUUGUACAAGUGCCAGGAGAAGAGUGCAGAGCACCCUGCCCCCUGCGCCACCCCGGUGUACUACAGUGCUGUGAAGGAUUGUUCUCACGACAGCUCUGAGCACAACCUCACCGAGCAGGAGGAUCUGAGCAGGCUCCCUGCACCAGCAAAGAAGAAUAAACAAAUCCUGUGAGCCUGAAACAAUGCAGGCAGUGGGAGCUGUGUGGCUGUGCAUACUGUGCUGGGAGAGUGCCAAGAGGAAUUGCUUUGGCAUUGUGGCAAGCUUCAUUCAAUAUUUCUUCAGGGCAUUUAACAAAACAUAUUGUUAUAAGCAAAUUAAUUUGCUUUUCCUUAGUGCUCAUUUAUCCUUGUUUGGUGAAGCAUUAGGCACGUGUCAAUAUUUAGCAUCUCUAAAGUAUCUAUUGUUAAAUAUAGCAGUGCCACCCCAUUUUGUGUUAGGGGCAAGUGCUGAGCUGGGCCAAAGCACAGAAAGGAAUCCCAGGAACAGAAGGGCAUUCAAGGAAAAAAUACACUUUGUAAGAGUGAGCCUCUCCUACCCAAACUGACACCCUAUGGAAGCUGCUCCUCUGGAGUCCUUCUGAAGUUAAUGGGAACAAUUAGGCACUUUCAUGUGUCUCCUCUCAUCUCAAUGCUCUUCUGUGAGGAGUACACAUCCCUACAGCGGAGAUCAGUGCCUCCCAAGGUAUGAGGCCAUUGGCUGUAAAGGGACUCUCUGGAGGAGACUCCUGCAUUAGGAAUAACCAAAGUUGGGUGUCAUGAGCCUCCUGUCAUGUUUCUGGAAACACUGCAGUGCUGAUAGCACAGAAACCAAGGUCCAGACCAGAUGGAUUUGCUACAAUGAACAAACUAAUAAUGAACAAACUAAUAAUAAGCAUUCCUUAAUGUAACAGAAGUACUUCCAACGUUGUGGUCUGAGUUUCUUUUGGAUAACAUUAUCUUUCCUGUCCUAAUUCCUCUGGUUGUUUCUUGUCCUGUAAGCCCCAGCGUGGCAUAGUCAUUACCACAGAGAAGUGUUCUCUCUGCCCCAGCUACAGGUGCAUUGCAAUGGCAGGUGAAGAAAUUCUUUUAUUUCCUGGGAAGAACUUGUGAAGUCCAUUAAGUGUUUUGUGAUUAAUGACACAAAUAUUUAUUGCUGCUGUCAUCUUGUAAGCAAAGUAGAUAUUCAUACCCUGCAGCAUCCAGGAAACCAGCCCAAGGACACUUGCCCCAGACUUGCAAGAGACUAUCUGGACUAUGAGUAAAAUCAAAAAGCUUGCAAAUGAGCCAAACCCUAGGGCUCUUGCCAAAUAAAACAAGUGUCUGCCACCAAUAAACCUCAAGUGACUGUGAAGUAUUACUUGAACAGCCUCACUAGUCAACACUGGCUUUCACCAAACUAUAGUGUUAAAAGAGCCUAGAAUUUUGCAUCCAUUCAGGAAAAUAUGUGCAUGGCAUUUUCAAGGGCACAAGAUGUUAAUUAACCAUUCUGCAUCUACAGGAAAUCGCUUCACUGGGCAUAAGGUAACCUCUCCCAUGAUAGCCACCCUGCAUCCUCUGCUGGAAAAUCUGUUUGUUGGGUGCAAUGAGAGGCCAGGACCUCCCGACAGCCUGGCACACCAAGGGGAGGAACCUGCAGAUGUACAGUGGCAUUUUCAGCAAGACCCUCCUUUUCACUGUAACUCACAACAUUUUUAUAGAAAAAAAAGGGGUGAAGGGACAAAUUCAGCACACCUACUGCCUUUCCCAUUACAGUGGGAAGCCACCCACUGCAAGCUGCUUCUGUGAAGAGCAUUGUUGGUGGCAGGAAAGUGCUUGGAUGGUGCCUGGUCCCAAAAGAGACCCCAUCUCCACCCAGGGCACCCCAAAGGCACCAACAGCCUUGGAUCCACCAGUCCCUCACACCCCACCCCGCGGCCCCAUCCAUGGGCAGGACUCGGGUCACACUUCAACAAGCCCAAUUUCAACUUGCUCCCCCUCUCAGUCCUCCAUACAUGGAAAAUGAUGCCAGGUGACAGGGGAAAGGAAAGACUUUUUGUUCAUCCCUCUGGAUGACUUCCAAGCACGGAGAGCAGCGCCGUCCACCCCGAGCCACAGCGUGGCUCUCAUGAGUCAUUCCGCUUGCUGGAUUGCUUCAUCUCCAUGCCAUGGAUGACAAUCUCUGGAAAAUCUCUGACACUGAGUCAACCAAGGGAGUUACAAAACACAUCAGUGUGCACGUAUGAGACCUUCUCACUCAUUUUCCUACAGCUACAGAUAAAUCCCUCAUCCCUGGCAUGGCAGGACAGUUGAUGGCUUUGGUGAGAAUAAUUUAAGGCAACUGCUAUUUUAUACAAAGAAGAGGAGACCACAGUGCAGAAACCCUGGUUUUUCCUUGGUAGAUUGCAGAGGCCAGCCACAGCCUGGGAGCAGGAAACUGAAUUGAUCUUCAGACACUCUCAUUUAAGGUUGAUGUUUGCAGUGCAACCUUGGGAUCUCAAGUCCUCCUCUUAGGUGUUUCCAGGUGGCUGAGCUUUAAUCCCCGCCAAGGUCUGAGGUCUCCACCAGCAGCAACGCCUGUCCCAGACACAGAUAAAUAGGAAAGUCAAGGGAGAGCAAAACACAUGACCAACACUUUACCACAGCUGCCUGCAAAGCUUCCACCUGGGCAGGCUGAGUGAGACUAAAAACGACAGAAAGCAGUGCCCAGCAGAGUCCUGGGAAAGCAGCCCAAUAUCCUCACAGGGGCUUAGAAGUGUCUCUUGUGUUCUCAUGAGGCUCAAGGGCCACGUUCAGCCUGGAUGGCAGAUUUUGUUUGAAAUAUUUGAGCCCAAGUCCUGCGCAAGCUCAGGACACUUUCCUGUCUGUGGGAGUACCACAGGCACAAGAAAUCUCACAAGAUUUUAUUGCCACCAAAUCCAAAUGUAAACACUUAUCCCAAUUCAAGUGGAAGACCUGAGCAAGCUCCAGUCUCACAUACAUCUUGAUUCAUCUUUAUCUUUAGUAAAACAAUUAAGUAACUGCUGCAAACUAGUACUGGUGCAAUUAGAGCUGCAGUUUUCACAGUUUCACGUUUUUUAUGUGUUCUUGCAUCUUGCUGGUCUGAGUGCCAAGAAAUAAAGUAAUGUACAAGUUACCUGGGAGCAGCCAUGUUGAAACAGCAAAUUUAAAGUGUUUCUUGAAGCAUCUGCAGCAUUUGCAGUAAACAAAUUUCAAAUUUAACAUCACACACUCUUGCAAUGGAAUUCUCACUCCAUGAAACAUGCCCAUGGUACUGGGAAGGCAAAACUAUAUGGUGAGAAUGUAUCCCACCCACACAGUUCUUAAUUUUGAGAAAAUGUAUGAAAUUAUUAAAUAAUUUCAUGCAAUAAUUUUUUGACAUUUCUGAAAAGUGAGUCAACCUUAAAACACCCAGUGACAUCUACAAAUUGAGGGUAAAAUCUCUU